rnacentral:rRNA from 1 species
UACGGAGGGGGUUAGCGUUGUUCGGAAUUACUGGGCGUAAAGCGCGCGUAGGCGGACCAGAAAGUUGGGGGUGAAAUCCCGGGGCUCAACCCCGGAACGGCCUCCAAAACUCCUGGUCUUGAGUUCGAGAGAGGUGAGUGGAAUUCCGAGUGUAGAGGUGAAAUUCGUAGAUAUUCGGAGGAACACCAGUGGCGAAGGCGGCUCACUGGCUCGAUACUGACGCUGAGGUGCGGAAGUGUGGGUAGCGAACAGG